AGCAGCCGCGGUAAUUCCAGCUCCAAUAGCGUAUAUUAAAGUUGUUGCAGUUAAAAAGCUCGUAGUUGAAUUUCGGAAUCAAUUUGUUGGUCGUGCCUCGGUACGUACUGGUAUUAUUGGUUUCUACCUUCUGAAGAACCUUGAUGUCAUUAAUUUGGUGUCUUGGGGAAUCAGGACUGUUACUUUGAAAAAAUUAGAGUGUUUAAAGCAAGCAUACGCUUGAAUACAUUAGCAUGGAAUAAUGAAAUAGGACGUUUGAUUCUAUUUUGUUGGUUUCUAGGAUCGACGUAAUGAUUAAUAGGGAUAGUUGGGGGCAUUAGUAUUCAAUUGUCAGAGGUGAAAUUCUUGGAUUUAUUGAAGACUAACUACUGCGAAAGCAUUUUGCCAAGGAUGUUUUCAUUAAUCAAGAACGAAAGUUAGGGGAUCGAAGACGAUCAGAUACCGUCGUAG
rnacentral:rRNA from 1 species